UACGAAGGGGGCUAGCGUUGCUCGGAAUCACUGGGCGUAAAGGGUGCGUAGGCGGGUCUUUAAGUCAGGGGUGAAAUCCUGGAGCUCAACUCCAGAACUGCCUUUGAUACUGAGGAUCUUGAGUUCGGGAGAGGUGAGUGGAACUGCGAGUGUAGAGGUGAAAUUCGUAGAUAUUCGCAAGAACACCAGUGGCGAAGGCGGCUCACUGGCCCGGUACUGACGCUGAGGUGCGAAAGCGUGGGGAGCAAACAGGG
rnacentral:rRNA from 1 species